CCCUGCUGCAGACAGGAGGAAGAGCUGUGAUCCUAUAAUCACUGCUGUUACAUCUCAGAAAGGGUACAGAUUAUUGCCUCCUGCAUAGCUGGACUUAGACCUAGAGGUCGUCUGAGGUCUGCCUGCAAUCACAGAGAUAUGAGGCUCCUGAGGUUCUUGUAAACUCAAAGCUGACACUCAUAAAUAAAUGUUAGUCAGCAACAAGCAAUGGCAUUAAACCCCCCAAGAGCUUCUGAAAAACUUAUACAAGAAUACUGUCACAUGAAAAUGGGAUAGAAUUAGAGCCACAUCAAGAGGAACAAAGUCAACUGCAGAGGCUUGGAGUGGUCCUCGGUCAGCCUGCACUUUGGUGGCCACAGUGGCCUGACCCCGUGCCACUGGCAACAGCAUAUUCCAAGUGCAGCCUCUUCUGAUUGUCUGAUUGCCAAGUCAUGAGCCCAGACUUCAAAGGACGAGGAGGCUCAGGCAACUGAGGACUCACGCGCAGAUGUGACAGCUUCACGGGAGCCACGCCUUCCUGAGUACAGAGGAGGUGACAUGAAAGUAGCGGCGGAUGGAACUGUAAGUCAGCGUUUCCAACUUCUCUAACUUGGAAGGAGUCAUGAGAGUUAAAGCCCUAAGGAUGAGACAGAAGCAUCCUCACUCUCCUGCACUCUUUGGCCAGCCUGUGGGAUGGAUUUUGCUAUGGCCUUCAUUUCCCAAAAGAAGAAGGUGAAGUUGGUGAAUGCCUUCAUCAAGAGGCACCGCAAGGGAAUGGCAGAAAAUCACAAUGUUUAUCUAGCUGUGUCUACAUCACUCGUGUGUUACGAGCCACUCAGCAACAAGCAGUGACCAAAUGACAUGGCCUUAUAGUUUUACUCUUUCUCCUGUAUACUGGAAAGUUUCACACAAAUAUUUAGCAUAUUCUGGUUUUUAUUCACACCCCAUUACAUCCUGGUAUCCCCUUUUCUUCCCCUCUCCUCUCUCUUUCCAGCCUAGCUUUGUCACUCUUAAGUGGCCCGCCAUCAACACACCAGAGACCAAGAAGAGCACAUUCCAGCUGAAUCCUCAGCAAACAUGAAACACAAAGACAGCUCCCUGAUCCCAAGACAGUACAGUACUGCCCUGCCAUGGGGAAGUCUUCUUGAUGCGAAGCUCCCGGUGUUCUUUGGCAGCUAAUGAAUCCACUUCUGAGCUCCGUGCACAGAAACACAACUUAAAGGUGCUGUCUACCUUUUCCUGGGACAGAGUCUCUCACUGGCCUGGAACUCACGAAGUCAUCCAGACUGGCAGACCAGCAAGCCUCAGUGGUCUGCCUUUCUUUGUUUCCCCAGUAUGGAGUUUAAAAGCACAUGCUGCCACACUUGGCUUUUUAAAAGUGGGUUCUGGGGAUCAAACCCUGGUCCUAGUGCUUGCAAGACAAACACCUUACUGACUGAGCCAUCUCUCCAGCAAAGAGCAAUUUUCUUUUAAGUGCCACAUAAGUGCCACCAGAGCUUCUUCAGACUGCCUUUUGAAGAGACAGACUAUCUAAGAAGUAAUCCAAAUGAUACAAGGGUAUUUGGAGAUGUCUUUUCAUUGCUUCGGUUUCUUCAGUUUAGCCAGGAAGUAAUAGCAGUGACUGGGCACGAGGGACUUUAUGAUGGGGAUUUUGAGUUCAGAUACCCCCAAGUGCUGGCCCGAACAAAGAAGGAAGCAGAGGGAGGAACUGUCAGUCAGAACCCAUCCCUGCCCACGCAUCUAUAAUUACAACAACGGUUGCAGCGCAACUCAAAAACAUAAACAGGCUGAGCUGGCCUAAGCCCAGGGCUCUAUUUAUAACCUCCAUGGACCUACUUAUAGCCUUGACACCCUCUUUGAAACAAGCCCACAGAUGAGCAGCAGAGACAAGGGCCAGUCUCAGUUGUGAGGUGAUGCAAAUGAUACUGUCGUCUUAAGUGGAGAUGCUCAGCCAUCCUGACAGAGGCUCAUCUCAGAGGAAACAUCUUCCUGGGGCAGGCCAGACAGGAACACAGAGCCAAAGGUCUUGCAACUCAGACUUGGAAAUUACAGGGUUCAUCCGGAAGGUGUGACAGUGCCUCGUCACAGGUCACCAGUGCUACUGAAUUUGGCUUGAAACACGAUUGUUUAGGCAAGACAGGAAGUGGCCAAGAAGUGAGACCCAGAGGCAAGCAGGGGACCAGGUUGUCAGACAGCUCUGUGUUGGCCUGGCUGGCCUUGACCAAGUUUCUUGAUUUCUCUGAGGCUUGGGUUUUUUUCCUUCUAUGUAAUGGAAGGAUUAAAAAUGCCUCUUAGAUGGGCAUAUAGUGACUCGUGAUUUUUAUAGUAUCAAUAUUAAUAACUUAGUUUAUAAAAAAGCAAGGUUUUCUGAAAGUGUUGGCUCAUCUAACCCAUUUUGGAUAAUUCUAUACUGACUUUGAGAUGGUCCUUGUUAUGAAAAAAAACAAAAAUGCAAAACUCAAGUCUAAGGCUGAGGAGAUGAUGGGUCAGUAGAUAGAGUCAUGGUAGCAUGCAGCUAUGAUAUGAUCCCAGAACUUCCUUAGGGAGAUCAGAGGCAGAAACAAGAGAAUUGUGGGAAGGUCAUGAGAUGUGAAGAACAGAAAAGCAGCCAAAAGGCCUGCUUCCAACAUGGUGAAAAAUGAGGACCUGAACCUGAAGGGUGUUAUUCUCUGGCCAUCACACACAUGCCACGGCACAUGCAUGCCUGCACAGAGACACACUCAGAAGUAUAACCAGACAGACACACAUACAGAGAUACAUACACACAGAGAAACACAAAGACAUACACAGACAGACACACACACAUAGAGAGAAACACACAGAAAUAGAAACACAAAGACACACACACAGAUACAAACAGACACAGAGACAUACAUACACACACACAGACAGACACACAUACAAAGACACACACAGACACACAGAGAUACAAACAGAUACAGAGACAUAUACACAGACAGACACACAUACAGAGACACACACACAGACAUACACACAGAUAUACACACACAGACACACAUACAUAUACACACAGAGACACACAGACACACAAAGACAUACACACAGAUACACAGACACCGACACACACAUAGACAGACAGACACACAGGAACAGACAGACACACAGGCACAGACACACACACAGACAGACAGACACACACACAGGCACACUCACACACACAGGCACAGACGCACACACACACACACACAGGCACACACACACACGCACACACACACACGCACACACACAGGCACACACACACACAGGCACACACACACACACACACACACACACACACACACACACAGAGCUAAUUAAGAAAGAACCAAAGCACUGGAAGAUAUUUUUAGAGACGUCUCUCCUACAGGAGCCGAUGUUAAUUAUUUCAGAGGAUUUAGAAUGCAUUUGAUUGCUUCAUAUUUCUGCAUCUUAAUAUUCAAAGGUAAUAUUAUUUACAUAGCAUAAUUGUAAAUGUCUUAUACAGUUUAACGAGGAGCAUAUUUGAUGGGGGAAAACAAGCCUUUCCUCUUCCUGACAGGUCUUCAAACAUUCAAAGACUGAACUGAUCAUCCACACCUCUUCUCCUAUCCUUGUACACAGUCAGGACUUUCUCCCUUGGCACAGAAAGCUCUGGAUCAUUCAGCUAGUUCAGUUCCUUCCCCUUUCCCUUUUAUUUUAAGCAUCCCCGAUGUUUGCUCACGCUCUCCUCUCAGCUGCCUCUGACACUCUAAGGAUGAAUAACAUCCAGCUGUACAGACGAUAUGCAACUGUCCCCCUUCUCUUUCUCAAGUAUUUUGAGUCUGCUUCCUUUCCCAAAGGUGGGUAAUGCAUGCUUAGGGAAUAUGAAUUCAUUUCGUCUGUCUACUUGCCCAUCUAUAGUAAACACAUGAAAAAGUAUGCAGACUGUUCCAAAAUAAAAUAAAAUAAAAUAAGUUAUUUACUCAGGAGGCUGAGGUAGGUAUGAGUUCAAAACCA